GAUGAAGAACGCAGCGAAAUGCGAUAAGUAGUGUGAAUUGCAGAAUUCAGUGAAUCAUCGAAUCUUUGAACGCACAUUGCGCCCCUUGGUAUCCCGAGGGGCAUGCCUGUUCGAGCGUCAUUUCACCACUCAAGCCUGGCUUGGUGUUGGGCGACGUCCCGUUUGGGGACGCGCCUCGAAACGCUCGGCGGCGUGGCACCGGCUUUAAGCGUAGCAGAAUCUUUCGCUUUGGAAGUCGGGGCCCCGUCUGCCGGAAGACCUACUCGCAAGGUUGACCUCGGAUCAGGCAGGGAUACCCGCUGAACUUAAGCAUAUCAAUAAGCGGAGGA
rnacentral:misc_RNA from 1 species